GUAGGUCAAGAGCAAUUCUCACCUAGCUCACCUGGGUGGCCACCUUUCAUGAGGGUGAACCCAAUUUUGGACUGGUCAUACAGAGAUGUAUGGGCGUUCCUAUUGGUAUCCAAGGUUCGGUACUGCAGUCUUUAUGAUCAGGGGUAUACCUCAAUCGGGAGCAUUCAUGAUACUGUUCCUAAUGCACUUUUGUGCACGAGGAACUCCGACAGUAGUGAAGAGAAGUUUAAGCCUGCCUAUUUACUCGCUGAUGGAAGAUUGGAAAGAGCUGGAAGAGCAAAGAAGAACUCUUCUGCGGCUUCCGGGAAAUCAUCU
rnacentral:misc_RNA from 1 species